CGGACGGGUGAGUAAUGCCUAGGAAUCCGCCUGGUAGGUGGGGGACAACGUUUCGAAAGGAACGCUAAUACCGCAUACGUCCUACGGGAGAAAGCAGGGACCUUCGGGCCUUGCGCUAUCAGAUGAGCCUAGGUCGGAUUAGCUAGUUGGUGAGGUAAUGGCUCACCAAGGCGACGAUCCGUAACUGGUCUGAGAGGAUGAUCAGUCACACUGGAACUGAGACACGGUCCAGACUCCUACGGGAGGCAGCAGAA
rnacentral:rRNA from 1 species